rnacentral:rRNA from 1 species
AUGGAGCUGCAGGGGCUGGGGAGGUACUGGGGCGUGGGCGGGAGGAGGUGCGGGUCGUGCCGGGGGUCGCCGGCGGCGGUGCACUGCCGGACGUGCGAUGGGGGCAGUGGGGACGGGGCGUACCUCUGCGCGGGGUGCGACGCGGGGCACGCGCGGGCGGGGCACGAGAGGGUGUGGGUCUGCGAGGUGUGCGAGCUCGCGCCGGCCGCGGUCACCUGCAAGGCCGACGCCGCCGCGCUCUGCGCCGCCUGCGACGCCGACAUCCACCACGCCAACCCGCUCGCGCGCCGCCACGAGCGCGUCCCCGUGCAGCCCAUCGGGUCCUCGUCACCCGAGGGACAGGAGCAGGACGCGUUCGUGAUGUCGUUCGGCGGCGCGGUCGACGGGGAGAAUAAGCAGGACCCCGUGGGGAACCUGAACGACGCUCUGGAAGACGGCGCCGGCGGGAAGGACAACGUGAAGCUCGACUUCCUGUUCGCGGACAUGAUGGACCCUUUCUUCGGCUCCGAGCUCCCUCGCUUCCCGCACGCCGAUAGCGUUGUCCCCAGCGGCGGCGCGCUGGAGCUGGACUUCGGUGGCGUCGCCGCCGCUGCUGCCGCCGCCGUCGUCUCCAACCCGUCCUACAGCUCCUACACGGCGGCGUCGCUCGGUGGAAGUCAGGGCUCGUCGUCGGAGGUCGGUUUGGUGCCGGACGCGAUCUGUGGCCGAGGCGGCGGCAUCAUCGAGCUGGACUUCGCACAGUCCAAGGCCGCGUACCUGCCGUACACCCCCACACCAAGCCGCAGUACUGUCUCCUCGGUGAAUGUUGGGUCGGUGCCGGAGCGGAGCGACAGCGCCGUAGUGGCAGCGACGCCGGCGACGGGGGAGGGGAGGGAGGCGCGUCUGAUGCGGUACCGCGAGAAGCGCAAGAACCGGCGGUUCGAGAAGACCAUCCGGUACGCGUCCCGGAAGGCCUACGCCGAGAGCCGGCCGCGCGUCAAGGGCCGCUUCGCCAAGCGCGCCGACGACGCCGACGCGGACGCCGACGACGCCGACGCGGACGCCGACGCCGUCGCGGUGGGCACGAUCACCACGCCCCGGCCCUGCGUGCUCGACUUCGGCAGCUACGGCGUCGUGCCCACCUUCUGA